AUUGAACGCUGCGGCAGGCCUAACACAUGCAAGUCGAGCGGUAGAGAGAAGCUUGCUUCUCUUGAGAGCGGCGGACGGGUGAGUAAUGCCUAGGAAUCUGCCUGGUAGUGGGGAUAACGUUCGGAAACGGACGCUAAUACCGCAUACGUCCUACGGGAGAAAGCAGGGGACCUUCGGGCCUUGCGCUAUCAGAUGAGCCUAGGUCGGAUUAGCUAGUUGGUGGGGUAAUGGCUCACCAAGGCGACGAUCCGUAACUGGUCUGAGAGGAUGAUCAGUCACACUGGAACUGAGACACGGUCCAGACUCCUACGGGAGGCAGCAGUGGGGAAUAUUGGACAAUGGGCGAAAGCCUGAUCCAGCCAUGCCGCGUGUGUGAAGAAGGUCUUCGGAUUGUAAAGCACUUUAAGUUGGGAGGAAGGGUUGUAGAUUAAUACUCUGCAAUUUUGACGUUACCGACAGAAUAAGCACCGGCUAA
rnacentral:rRNA from 1 species